rnacentral:piRNA from 1 species
UACCAUUCCAGAAUCAGUGCUUGGC